AACAUCGCGCACCUGCGGGAACCUGCGGAAGGAUCAUUACCGAGUGAGGGCCCUCCGGGUCCAACCUCCCACCCGUGUUUAACGAGCCUUGUUGCUUCGGCGGGCCCGCCUCACGGCCGCCGGGGGGCACCCCGCCCCCGGGCCCGCGCCCGCCGAAGACACCUGUGAACGCUGUCUGAAGUUGCAGUCUGAGACACUAGCUCAAUCAGUUAAAACUUUCAACAAUGGAUCUCAGAUCGG
rnacentral:misc_RNA from 1 species